rnacentral:rRNA from 1 species
UACGUAGGGGGCAAGCGUUGUCCGGAAUUAUUGGGCGUAAAGAGCGCGUAGGCGGUCCGAUAAGUCGGCUGUGAAAGUCAGGGGCUCAACCCUUGGAAGCCGGCCGAUACUGUCGGACUAGAGUCCGGAAGAGGCGAGUGGAAUUCCCGGUGUAGCGGUGAAAUGCGCAGAUAUUGGGAAGAACACCGGUGGCGAAGGCGGCGCUCUGGACCGAGACUGACGCUGAGGCGCGAAAGCGUGGGGAGCAAACAGG